AAGCUACUUUAAUAAUGCAGGCAGUGGAUGCCUUGGCAUAGUGUGCCGAAGAAGGACGUACAUAGCCGCGAUAGUCGUCGGGGAGCUGCUAAGAAGCAAUGAGCCGGCGGUGUCCGAAUGGAGGAAUCCCUGCUGGAGUAAUCCAGCGGACCCCGGUGUUACACCGGGGGGGUAAGCCACCGAACUGAAAUAUCUCAGUAAGUGGAGGAAAAGAAAUCGAAUGAGAUUCCCUGAGUAAGCGACGAGCGAAAAGGGAACAGCCUAAACUUGAGGCGCAAGCCUUGAGGGUUGCAGGACUUUCAAUGUAGGAUUGGCAAGGAUAGUCAAAUAGUCUGGAACGUCUGACCAAAGAGGGUGAUAGUCCCGUAGACGAAAUUCAAACCAACCUUAGAAAGACUCCUAAGUACUUUCGGAGACGGCAAACUCCGGGAGGAAGCUGGGCCGACCAUGGUCCAAGGCUAAAUACACACUAUGACCGAUAGUGAACGAGUACCGUGAGGGAAAGGUGAAAAGAAGGGUGAGAGACCCAGUGAAAUAGUACCUGAAACUGCUUGCUAACAAACAGACAGAGUCCGGCCGCAAGGUCAGGAUGAUGUCGUGCCUAUUGAAGAAUGAUCCACCGAGUUAAUACCGACUGCAAGCUUAAGUGAUUGUCAUCACGGAGGCGGAGUGAAAGCGAGCCUGAAUAGGGCGACCAUAGUAGUCAGUAUUAGACCCGAAACCAGACGAUCUAUCCAUGGCCAGGGUGAAGCCCGCCGAAAGGCGGGUGGAAGCCCGCACCAGUGUAUGUUGCAAGAUGCUUGGAUGAGCUGUGGAUAGCGGCAAUAUACCAAUCGAGUCUGGAGCUAGCUGGUUCUCCCCGAAACAUAUCUAGGUAUGGGCUCACGUGAUUGCCUACGGGGGUAGAGCACUGGAUGGGUAUUUUGUGGGUAACCGCAGAUAUCUAAUCAAACUCCGAAUACCGUAAGGUUCAGCGUGGGACUCAGUACGCCAGGGCUAAGCUUGGCGGGCAAAAGGGAAACAUCCCAGAUCAUCGUCUAAGGUCUCUAACUCUCUGUUAAGUGGGAAAGGAAGUCAUUUGCCUAAAACACCCAGGAGGUCGGCUUAGAAGCAGCCAUCCUUGAAAGAAAGCGUAACAGCUCACUGGCCGAGGGAAGUGGCGCCGAAGAUUUACGAGGCUUAAACAGAGGACCGAAGACAUGGCUGCUCCGCAUUUAUGCGGGGCGGGGUAGGGGAGCGUUCUUGUUGCAGUGAAGCUGUGCUGUAAGGCAUGGUGGAGCGGCAAGAAGUGAGAAUGGUGGAAUGAGUAGCGAGAAGCUGGUGAGAAUCCAGUUCGCCGUAUGUCCAAGGGUUCCUGAGCAACGUUCGUCGACUCAGGGUUAGGCGACCCUAAGGUGAGGCCGCAAAGGCGUAGCCGAUGGAUUAUGGGUUAAUAUUCCCAUCCUGUUUGUAGAUCGUUAUGAGUUGGGGCCGGACUUUCUAGGCUAACUUGGGCCUGGUGCUGAAGUUACCGGGUGAAAGCUGGUGAGGUAAUUGUGAUUGGAAAAUCCGUCAUGAUGUUUAACCGAGCCGUGAUGACGACCCUAGUCUUUGACCGGGGAAGUUGAGUGACGCAUGGAAACGAGAAAAUGGUCGCGACCAGAUCUAUAAAUAACCGUACCGAUAACCGACACAGGUGGACGAGUCGAGUAGACUCAGGCGAGCGGGAGAACUUUCCUUAAGGAAUUCGGCAAAUUAGCUGGGCGUACGUUCGCAAUAUGCCCUAUCCGGCGUAAGCCGGAUCACAGCAAAAGUUGGCGGAGGGACUGUUUAACAAAAACACAGGUCUGUGCAAACUCGAAAGAGGAAGUAUACGGGCUGAGGCCUGCCCAGUGCCGGAAGGUUAAUUGCGAGAGUGGUUACCGCAAGGUACCUGCUUUCAAUCGAAGCCCCGGUGAACGGCAGCAGUAACUAUAACUGUUCUAUGGUAGAUAAUCGCUGCCAUAGUAAAACUUUGCUAUAUGCUGGAAAAUCCGUGUAUCUUGAACUACCAUAUUUAUGGUAACGUGUUACCAUAGAUGGGUAAAAAUGUUCCAAGUGCGGACAAUCAGCAGGAAAGACUAAAAACGAAAGGUUGGAUUGUGGGUUUCACGGAUGGUGAAGGGUGUUUCACCCUUUCUAUCAUCAGAACUCAACAUCUAAAUUGGGUUGGCAAAAAUGUCUUGGCAAAUUAAUAACCAAAAGAAACCUAAGUUUUUAGAAUCCUCAGAGACUAUACGCAGAGGGGACAUUAUUUAGAUAUAUGCUAAAGCAUAUAUCUUGUCCCAAGAUAUAGUCCGAACUCAAGAGCGAUCUUGAGAGUGAUUAAAAGCGUGAUCACGAAAUAACAAGACGUAAUCAAUAAAAUUGAUUUUUGAGCGAAGUCCCUAGUCGCUUAAUUAGCGACCUGCACGAAAGGUGUAACCACUCUGCCACUGUCUUGAGGAAAGACCCGGCGAAAUUGCAAUGGCUGUGAAGAUGCGGCCUACUGGCAGCUGGACAAAAAGACCCUGUGGAGCUUUACUACAGCUUGGCACUGGUUUUUUAACCAAAAUUGUCUAGUAUAGGCGGGAGUGUGCGGAUUUAUUUCGCAUACAUCAGUGUAAUACCGCUCGUUUUGAUUAAGAAACCUCACCUAUCCCGAUUGCAAACAUCGGGAGGGACACUGCUUGGUGGGUAGUUUAACUGGGGAGGUUGCUUGCUAAAGAGUAACGCAAGCGCACAAAGGUACUCUUAGCCCGGAUGGAAAUCGGGCUUGAACGUGCAAUGGCAGAAGAGUGCUUGACUGUGAGGGUUACAACCCGAGCAGGGGCGAAAGCCGGUCAUAGUGAUCCUCGUGUGCUUUAUGGAAGGCACCGGGCUUAACGGAUAAAAGCUACCCCGGGGAUAACAGAGUAGUCGCGCCUAAGCGUCCCUAGCGACGGCGCGGUUCGCUACCUCGAUGUCGGCUCAGCGCAUCCCGGGGGUGGAGAAGCUCCCAAGGGUCCGUCUGUUCGUCGGUUAAAGCGCUACGUGAGCUGGGUUCAGAGCGUCGUGAGACAGCAAAACGAAAGUUUUUUGGUCAUACUGUCUCAGUUGUAGAUAGACGAUUUUGAACAAUUCGAGCCUGUUAUAAAUAUACAACCUCCGGUAUCGUACCGGAGAUAAAUCUGACUAUAUGCUGGAAACUCUGAGAAUCUCACACUAGUUGAUUUCGGAUAAUCUUCGGAAUUAUACUAAAAAUGUGUUGAGUGCAGACAAUCAGCAGGAAAGACUAUGAGUCAGAUAUCGGAUGAUUAUUUAAUUGGAUUUAUUGAGGGUGAAGGUUGUUUUUAUGUGAGCUUUGUUCCAUCAAAGGAAACAAAGUCGCGUUGGCAAUUAAUCUAUUUCUUUAAAGUAUCUCAAAAUCCUCGAGGAAUAGAGGUUUUGGAAGCUUUGAAAAAUAGAUUGGAAUGCGGAUAUAUAAAACAUAAUGCUUCUGCCACUUCAUCGGAUAAAUCAUUAGCGUAUGUUGUCCGAAACAUAAGAGAUAUUAAAGAAAAAGUGAUACCUUUUUUUAAUGAAAAAUUAAUUAUAAAAAGGGAAGACUUUAAAAAGUUUUGCCAAGUAAUUCAGUUGGUUUUAGAAAAGAAACAUCUUACAAGAGAAGGUGUUGAAGAAAUAAUCUCUAUUACCAACACAAUGAAUACGGGUAAACGAAAAUAUCAUGCUCAUAGAAUCCUCAGAGACUAUACGUCAGAGAAACAUUAGAUAUAUGCUAAAGCAUAUAUCUUGUUCCAAGAUAUAGUCCGAACUCUAAGGCGACUUAGAGAUUAACAAUUAUUUGUCGGCCUCUAUCCGCUGUCAGCGUGGGAAUCUUGAGGGAAUUCGGCCUCAGUAAAAGUUGCUGCCCAUUCCAGUAAUGGAAUGGUGUAACACUUGCUCAAAUCGGUGAAACCCUUUACUUUUAUGACCAUGGUCUUAGGGUCGUAAAGGAUAAUACCGAGGGAAUACGCCAUUGGCGUACCCGUAACGACUGGAUCUCCGGUGUGAUACCGGAGUGAAGAUGGUUCCGCUUAGCGGGAUCAUAACACGGCAAGCUCCUCCACUGGAGGAUGAAGGUAUAGUCUACACUUUUGGUAACAAAAGAGAAUGUGACGAGAGGACCAGGUUGAGGUAAUCCCUAGUGUGUCUGUUGUACCCGUCAGGGGCAUCGCAGAGUAGCUACAUUACCGUCGGAUAACCGCUGAAAGCAUCUAAGCGGGAAACCGCACCCAAGAUUAGGAUUCCGGCCCUCCAUUGGAGGGGAGAGACCCCUGGGAGACUACCAGGUUGAUAGGCGGGCGGUGUACGUGCCGUAAGGCAUUUAGCCUACCCGUACUAAUGGUCAAAGAGUAGUUUAU
rfam:Microgenomates group bacterium RBG_16_45_19 RBG_16_scaffold_199, whole genome shotgun sequence.